rnacentral:lncRNA from 1 species
GAUUGUCUGUUGCAUUAUAAUCAACUUGUUCGGACUCUAAGGAAGGAGAUACUGGCACCAAUUCAUUUAUUGUGGAAUCAACACUUCCAGUCAGAGUGUCUGUUGCACUAUAAUCAACUUGUUCGGACUCUAAGGAAGGGGAUUCUGGCACCAAUUCACUUAUUGUGGUAUCGACACUGCCAGUCAGGUUGUCUGUUGCACUAUAAUCAACUUGUUCGGACUCUAAAGAAGUCACCAUUGGCACCAAUUCACUAUCAUCAGCAUCAACACCGCCAGCCAGAUCAUCUGCUGCACUAUAAUCAACUUGUUCGGACUCUACGGAAAGGGAUACUGGAACCAAUUCGCUAUCAUCAGCAUCAACACCGCCAGCCAGAUCGUCUGCUGCACUAUAAUCAACUUGUUCGGACUCUACAGAAGGGGAUAUUGGCACCAAUCCACUUAUUGCGGCAUCAACACUUCCAGUCAGGUUGUCUAUUACUUGUUCGGACUCUAAAGAAGUCGACAUUGGCACCAAUUCACUAUCAUCAGCAUCAACACUGCCAGCCAGAUCGUCUGCCGCACUAUAAUCAACUCUUUCGGACUCUACGGAAGGGGAUACUAGCACCAAUUCACUAUCAUCAGCAUCAACACCGCCAGCCAGAUUGUUUGCUGCACUAUAAUCAACUUGUUC